UUUUUUUUUUUUUUUUUUUUUUAAGGCCACACCUGGGGCAUAUGGAAGUUCCCAGGCUAGGGGUCAAAUUAGAGCUGCAGCUGCCGGCCUGCACCACAGCAACAGCAAUGCCAGAUUCAAGCCACAUCUGCAAUCUACACGGCAGCUCACAGCAACCCCAGAUCCUUUAACCCACUGAGUGAGGCCAGAGAUGAAACCUGCAUCCUCAUGGAUACUAGUCGGGUUCUUAACCCACUGAGCCACAACAGGAACUCCAAUUCGAAUUCUUGAGAAAAAAAAAAAAAAACAUAUAUCCAUAUGGACUACCACAGUCUUGUCCUAAGGGGCUCUGAUUAAAUCCCCCAGGUCAGACGUACCCCUCUUGUCCCGUCGGCUAUGACUGGCUGGGGAUGGAUGGACAGGUUGGCUGAUGACUGGGAUAGAUGUUUUUGAGAUGGAGGCUCAGAGUGAGACGAGAAUCUCAUAUAUGUUUGCUACAAAUGUAAUCUAAUGGAUCAGGGCUGAGGUGUCUGCAUACGGGCCACUUGGUUUUAUUCUGCUACACCAAUGGUGAGCAAUAUGUGUUUGGGAAAAGGUCAGGUUUACAGGUCAUAUUGUAUCUGUGAUGAGGGGAAAGGGUAGAGAUACCAACAUCAAGAAAACACAGAUUCAUAUAUCCAAAUGAUCUGCUUUACAGCACAAAAUUUUAUUGAUAAAAAUCACCUCCACUUGUAUGGCAAUGCUACUAUUGGACAUAUUUAGGAAAAUGCUAACUCACAUAGAUUCAGCUUUAUUAAUUUUCUUUAUCCAUUUGCAUUACAGAGAGCUUGUUUAUAUGAACUAUCAUAUUUCACCUUCAAAAUAACCCUAACCAAGAGAUCUUAUCAUCUCUUCUUUUCAUUUAAGGCAACUGAAACACAGAAUGGGGAAGUAAAUCACCAAAGUUACAUGGUAGAUAAGUGGCAGAGGAUAGAAUUUUCUUAUUUAAUUAAACUGAAAUGAGCUUUUGCCUUGAACAUAGGACACUCCCCAGGGUAAAAGAAAUUAAGGAUGGUUAUAACCCUAAAAAAGAAAUACUUGCAAUAAAAGCAUAACAUGAUGCUUUUUCACUUUUUCUUUUUUCUUUUUUUUCUUUUUUUUUUUAGGGCUGCACUCAUAGUGUGUGGAAGUUCCCAGGCUAGGGGUGGAAUACACCACAGCCACAGCAACAGCAGAUCCAAGCCACAUCUGUGACCUAUACCACAGGUCACCAAAAGGCUGGAUAUUUAACCUACUGAGCCAGGCUAGGGAUCAAACCCAUGUCCUCAUGGAUACUAGUUAGGUUCUUAACCUGCUGAGCCACAAGGGAACUCCAUGAUGCUUUUCUAAACUAGAAUGGUUGUCUUACACUUAUAUAAAGAUCUCUUUUAGACUUAUAAGCAUACGUGUUAUUCUCUAUCACCAUUAAGGAUAUGAAAAAAAAGGAAAUUAUAAGCAAAAUAAGUUAGUUGAAAUAGUCUAAAACUCUGUUUUGUACUCAGAGUCCAAUUCAUUUUGAAUUAUGUAUUCGCUCAGUCAUUAAAAUCUGCUGAUUUUCUAUCUAUCAUGUAUUGGUUUUUGUCAUAUAAUAAACUACCCUUGACCCCAAAGGCUUAAUACUAUAAGCACUUGUUAUUGCUUAUGAGUUUGCAGGUCAGUUGGGCAGUUCUGCCAAUUUGGACAGAAAUUGAACUCACUCCUCUAUCUGUGGUUGGACAGCAAUUUGGCUGAAAACUAGCUGGUCAAGGAUGGCCUCACUCACCUGUCUGAUGGCAGGCUCACCACCAUGGCAGAGACGAUGAGGGUGACAGAGCUACAUGUCUUUUAUCACCCAGUGGACCAGCUUGUACUUGCUUUCAUGAUGACUUCUUGGACCUGGGUUCAAAACUUACUAACGUCACUUUGGUUGCAUUCAAUUGCCUAAAGCCAGUCACAGAGCAUCCUAGGUUCAAGGGAUGAGCAAAUAGAUUCUACCUCUUGAUGGGAAAAGCUGCAGUCACAUUGCAUAAAGCAUAAAUACAGAGAAAAAUGAGACUUGGGACCACUUUUAUGAUUUAUCUAUGAUAUUAAGGUUUUCCUAAGGCUUCUUCAUUUUCUUCAUAAUCUAGCCCUUCUGAAUUAUUUUCCCCUUUGAAUGUGUCAAUAUCUAAUGAUUUACCACUGAAUUUUGUCCUCUGGGUUACUAAAAACAUUUCUUAGAAGAGUUUUUCCUCUAUCAUUACUGUGAUUUUCUUCCAAGCCACUGAUACCCAUUCUGCAAAUUUCAGGGCUUACCUUUUCUUGAUUUUGUCAGAAAGGAGAAUAAAGAAAAUACCAAUAGAAAUUAACACACCAACCUUUCUUUUACCUAUUCUUAGAAAUUUGGAGGUUUUUCUGACUCUAGUUGCAUUGCUUGACAUGUGUAAAGGGGAAGAACAGUGGUCCCAAAGAUAUCAGAUACUAAUCCCUGAAAACUGUAAAUGUUACAUAAUUAGGGGGAAAAAGUCUUUGCAGAUGCAAUUAAGUUAAGGAUGUUGAGAUGGAAAGACUGUAUUUGAUUAUUUGCAUAGGCCCUAAGUGUCAUUACGAGUGUCCUUAUAAGAGAAAAGGAGAGGGAGAUUCAAUGCACCGAGGAGGAAAAGGUGAUGUGAAGACAGAGGUAGAGAUUAGAGGAUAAAACCACCAGAGGCUGGAAGAGACAAGAAAUGAUUUCUCCCUUAGAAUCUACAGAGUGAGCAGGGCCGUACCUACACCUUGAUUUUGACCUAGUGAAUCUGAUGUUGAACUUCUGUCAACCAAAAAAGGAUAAGUUUGUGAUCAUUUGUUACAGCAGCCAUGGGAAGUGAAUAAAGCAUGUGACAGGCAAUUUGUUGCAUGUAUCUAUCUCAGUAACAAAAUGUAAGAGAGCCAUCUACUUAUGGUUUAUUUCCUUUCUUAAGUUCUCCAAAGCAUUCAAUGUGACUUUGCAAGAAAGUACAUAUUAUGGAUAAUCCUUCAAUGAAAAAUGCUUUUUUCCUGCACAGUAGCUGUCUAUUUCCAUGCUCUAUUACAUAUAACAAAAUUAUAUUUAUUAUUUAUAUAUCAGAAUAACAUUUUUUCUGAUGUUGUAUAUUCUUUUUAAGGCAUUUUCAACGGCAAUUAAACCCAGCAUGGGUAGUAUUAACAAUACAGAAAAUUCAGACGAAUGGACCAAUGUUAAGACGCAUCUCAAUUUCAGAAAUACAAAAAAUAAAGUAUCUUAGAGUGAUGAUAUAUGUAGUUCAUUUCAUCCCAUGCAUCAUCACUAAGUGUUCACGCUAUGCAAGCCCUGUGUUACAGACUGGAAAGAGGCUAAGACAGCACCUUCCUGAUCUCCAGCUUAGCUCUUUCUCUCCAAUACUUGCAGAAUCUCUUCUCUGCAAGGACCUGAAAGAGCAAGGCGGGCUUGUGUUAUAUAAAGCACCUAGUGUGCCAGCUUCCAGAAGGCUGGGCUACCAGGACAUACUGGCUGCUUCUGUCACACUCUAAGCUAGUGCUACAGACAGCUCAGUCUGUCACUCACGAAGCUGGCCCAACAUGGAGCACAAUCUCUACCUAGACUAAUCAGCCUCCUAGUAGUGGGGAAAUAUCUGGGGAAGUGAUUUCAAAAUGUCCUUUCUACAUCCAGGGUGGUUGUCCUGGAGGCUUUUAUUUUCCUCAGGCUAAAACUGGAUCUCAGACCAUUUGGAGUUGCAUCUUACAUGGUGAGCCAUUUUUCUGAGACACUAAUUAGGGAAUAAUUUUGCAAAUACGCUCUCUUGGUCCAAAGCAAAACAUUUUCAGAAUAUGAUAGGUGCAUUAGCAGAAAUCAACAAAAACUACCAGGAAAUCAACAAAACUAUGAAUGACAGACCAUAAGAGUCAGUUGUGCCCUGUGAUAGCUGAGCUUAACUCUUCAUGCCUUACCUGCAAAGCCUUUUGCAUCAUCUCAGGGGCCUUCCCUUCCAAACAGUUAUGAACAUUCUGAAGAUUUCUGUCCCCCAAACCUGUCUUUUGCUUUUUCUUUUCUUCUGAAUCUUAUAAAUCAACUCACAAAAUUAUAUGACAUUGAAUUCCACUUUCUCAAUACUGCAUUAUCAACUAUAUUUUAAUUUAUUAGAAUAAAUAUUUUUAAGUGAUAUUUUCAAAAGCUCAUAGACAAAUCUAAUCUUCAGGGGCUCUGCCACUAAGUUACUCUAGCUCCAGGCCAAUCAUUUAAUCUCCCUGUGCCUUGACUUCUUCACCAGCAAGAUUUUAAAAAUUCCCUUCAACAUUAAAAAGUCUUAACUCUAGAAAGCACUUCAUGUGGUUUUUGAGCCAGACUUCUGAUAUUUGAUCAGGAAAAUACCCACUCACUCUUAACUAAAUAUAGAAAGACCUAGAAACUAUUGGUACCAUGACUAGUUUUAGAACUUCUGCUGGUCCUAUUAGAACCAAGAAUAAUAUGAGAUUUCUUCUAAGACUCUCUCUAAUUAGAAAGAUUUCCUUUUGACACAAUGAACCUUUUUGCAGAACAGAUACUGACUCACAGACUUUGAAAAACUUAUGGUUUCCAAAUGAGACAGGUUGGGGGGUGGAGGGAUGCACUGAGGGUUUGGGAUGGAAAGGCUGUAAAAUUUGGUUGUGAUGAUUGUUGUACAACUGUAAAUGCAAUAAAAUUCAUUGAGUAAUUUUAAAAAUUUUAUAUGUUGCAUAAUAUUUAGAUAAAUUUCAAAAAUGAAUGAUAGCUUCACAUCUAUUUAGUUACCAUUCUCACCCUGGUCUGGGCUUAUCUCCACCAAGGGCUAGAUAAGCAAAAUAGGGCUGAAAGAAGGAUGAAGGCUUCAAGGUAUGGCACUCGAAGACUUAUUAAACCUUCAAAAGAUUUAAUCAAAUCAAAUUUUAUUUAUCCCAUCCACAGUUUAGCCAACCAUUCCAUAAUUUUCAGAUAUUUAGAUGGUCUUUCACUUUAGGCUGAAAUACACAUUUUGGAUCUUUGUUUGCAUUUUCCAGAAGUAGAAUUCUGGGCCAAAGUGCAUGACCAGUUUGAGGCUCAUCAUACAUAUUGCUAAAUUUCUUCUCAUUUUACAUCCCAUCAGCAACUACCUAAUUGAACUACUUGAACUGCAUUUUGAAUUUAACUGUUUUUUUCUCUUGCCCACAUGAAGAAGUCUAACCUCUUCAGAGCAGGGAAAGAGAAUGAGGGAUUAAGAUGAAUGAGUUUCUCUCCUCUGCUAAUUUAUACCAUCACCCCCUUUCAGAUUAACUUACAACUUAAAAAGAAAUAAUAUUCAUUUGGGGGCAAGGGCUGAAGGAGAACAUGAAAAAAUUAAAACUACUGUAACUGUGCAGCCACUGGGGGAGGGAGUAACCUUGUUUCAAAAUUUCUGCCUUUCUAUUACAUCCCCAGGAAUCUUUAGAAACAAAAUUUUACCUUGUAUGCCUCACAUAAAAGACUUUUACCCCCAAACCAGAAACCCUCAAAACGGAUGUUGCCAAAUUAAAACAAAUGCUCUUAAAUAAAUUUUUCUAAUAAUAAAAACAACGUAUGAUUCUUUUAAAAUAUUUGGAAAGAAAAAGUUUACUUCCAGAGAGAUAAGCUGAUAAACAUAAUAAAAAUUAGUUUAAUAUUAUGUAUGCAGGUCAUAUUCUACUAUUUGCCACCUUUUACUAUGAAGCAGGGUUUUUCGUCACAUCAUACAGUUAUUUUUGGAAACAUAAUAUUUAAAAACUGGGCAAUUUUCCCCUUAACGUAUCAACUAUACUUUACUUUUAGACAUUUGUUUCUAUUUUUUUUCUAUGAUAAAUAACUCUGCACGGAACAUUCUCACGCAUCCUUAUAUCUUUGAUUAACUCUCAAAUUAUCACUUUAGAUAGAUUCCAAGAAUGAUUUUUUAUAAAUAUCGCAAAAUUGCUUUACAGAAAGCUCAUACUCAUUCAAACUCUCACCAGCAGUGUAUAAGAAUAUCCAUUACAAUGAAGUUUUAUGAAUGUGUAAUAUUAUUCUAAGUUUUUAAUCAAAGAUUCUCAUUGUUUUUACAAGUUGUUUCCAAACCAGGUCAGGGUAACUUCUCUUAUUUACUUACACAGCUUUUAUUAAGAGAGAUACGAGUUUCUGCUCCCCAAAUUGUUCAGACUGCUAUGAAAGGCAAGUUAUUUGCCUUGGUAGCAUCUGAGUUGGGUAGCUGCUGAGUUACACGGUCAACUGGUGGAGUUAGUCACCACCACCCACUGGAGUUUCCCUAAGUGGUCUGGUCACGUUUGUUUCAUGAUUAGCCUCACUGUUAUGAAAUAGUGAAGGAUGUGCAGGACAGAUGCCCAGUCAUACCUCUUGGUUAGCAUGGAGCUCAGAAGUCCUAUGAGAGGUAACCUGAACUCUCUUUAAAGUGGGAGUUACCAUGGCUCAGCGGUAAGGAACCUGACUAGAAUCCAUGAGGAUGCAGGUUCUAUUCCUGGCCUCGCUAAGUGGGUUAAGAAUCUGGUGUUGCCGUGAGCUGUGGUGUAGGUCACAGACGUGGCUCAGAUCCUACAUUGCUGUGGCUGUGGUGCAGGCUGGCAGCUGCAGCUCCAAUUCAACUCCUAGCCUGGGAACUUCCAUAUGCUACAGAAGUGGCCCCAAAAAAGACAAAAAAAAAAUAAAUUUAAAAGAUAAAAUAUAAAAAAGUUGGAGUUAAGAGCUGUACAGACCUGUUAACUUGCAGGUCCCUAAAAUAAUCUGGAGUGGAGGAAGGACAGUGAAGACUGAGUGAAAAGCAAUGGAGUAGAGUGAGCCAAACUGUACAGCAGCACAUGGAUAUUGAAGAGAGCAUUUUUUCUAGGAGAAUAAAAAACUAGGCUCAACCAUCCUCUGAAAUAGCCACUGAGGGCUGAAAAAACAGUACUCCAGAUGAGCAAAUUACAAUGCUGUGGGAAUGCCCUCUUUAAAGAAGAUGUCACCAUAAGUAGGAGACUUCCAAUAGUUAGUGUAAAAAGAAUACCAGGUAACAAUCCCAAGAUCAGCAGAGGGGGCAGAAACCCCUCCCAUGGGAGGAGAGAGAGUCUGCUCUCCCACAGUAACAGGUUCAAAGAGAAGAGUGACAGCUCUCAAUCUCAAAUGAACAGGAAGUUGGAGGUGCUAACACUGGCUCAAGGGAGCCACAAACCACUGUUUCUAUUACCUUGAAAGGACAGCCCUGAUGCUUCAGUCCAGCUCCUGCCUCUGUCCAACCAGUGCUCCAGAGAUUCCGACAUUGAAAAUGACAGUAAACAAGGGCAAACACCCAGAAAAUCAUUAAGAAAAAAGACUACAGCUUGCUAGCCAAGUUAGUGGGGCUUAGCCCAUCAGGAUGUGUGGGGUACAAAUCUGAAAGAUUCGUUCUCAUCAGCUGAAGUCCUGAUCCAUUCUCAUCAGCUGAAGCCCCUUUCAACUUUGUGACACUUAUGGAUAUGUUGUUAUCUGGCUGGAACAUAGUGUGUGCAUCCAUUAUUGAUUAAGAAAACCUUUUUAAUUUCUCAAAUUAAAAACCUAUUGGUUGUUAUAAAUUCCAUCUUUACAUAUACCAAUUUGUGGCCACUGAUAAUAAUGGAGCAGAAAUCCUGCCAAACAGUUCUUUUUUGCUUUGAAAAAAUAUAUAUACAGACUAACAAAUAUAUAUGCACACAUAUAUACAUGCAUAUACACAUGAGCAGGUAACAUGUUGAUGAACGGUUUGAAAUUCACAGGGAUAAAAAUGAAACCAGUUUCAUUUCCCUCCUAUUAUUAUAAUAUGUUGAAUCUCCUCCUCUAAGUGGGGAGCAGAUACCUAAUGCAAUCUUGGGCAGAAACCAUAGCAUUUCCAACACUUUAUAAUUAUAAGACAAAUUUAGUAUUAUUCAGUUUAAAACUCAAAUCGCAUAUUUGGUGCAAAUCUCAUCUCCAUUAGACAUGGCCCAUGGCUCCAGAGACCAGCAGUGGGUUUGGUCAUUAACAGGUUGGAGUCAAGGGAGGGGGUCUGGCUUGUCUCUUCCUACCUAUUUAAGAACAUAUUUCUCUGGUGGUGGGAGUUGAAAGGGAGGAUGAAUGAGGAUGUGUCUUUAUUGACUGCCUACUCUUUUGGUCCUCUAUUGGUUUUUGCUCUUCACUUUCUCUGGCUGCCUUCUAUGUAACAAGGGUACAAAUAUAUCUUCUCAUUUGGACAAGAGUAAGUUCUCCUGAGGGUUUACUUAUACCAAGAAGCAGGAAGAUAUCAAACUAAUUUAAAAAGACAAUCAGUAUGGCAGUUUUAACUAAUGCAAUAAGACAAAAAAAGAAAAUAAAGGGUAUUCUGACUGGUAAGGAAGAAAUAAAGCUGUUUGUUCUUGAUGAUGUGAUUAUCUAUGCAGAACAUUCAAAGGAAUUGACAAAAAAAAAUUCUGGAGCUAAUAAAUGAUUACAGGUAAGGUUGCAGGAUACAAGGUUAAUACAUGAGAGUCAAUUACUUUCCUAUACAAUGAACAAGUGGAAUUUGAAAUUAAAAACACAAUACCAUUUUAUCACCCCUAAAAUGAAAUACUUAGGUAUAAAUCUAACAUAAAUCUAAUGUUCAAGAUCUAUGAGAGAGAAAUUGCAAACCUCUGAUGAAAGAAAUCAAAGAACUAAAGAAAUGGGGAGCUACCCCAUGUGCAUAGAUAGGAAAACUCAUAUUGCAAAGUUCUUGCCACAUGGUUUCUAGAUUCAAUGCAAUCCCAACUGAAAUUCCAGCAAGUUAUUUUGUGGCAAUCAACAAACUGAUUCUAAAAUUUAUAUGGAGAGGCAAAAGAUUCAGAAUAGCUAACACAAUAUUGAAGAACAAAAAAGAGCUUUCAUAAUCAAGGCACUAUGCAACGGUGAAAGAAUAGACAGAUCUAUGGAACAGAUCUGAAAUAGACCCACAUAAAUAUAGUUAACUUACCUUUGACAAAAAAAAAAAAAAAAA
rnacentral:lncRNA from 1 species